UCAGGCUGUGACCCUCUAGAGGGAAGCACUCUCUGUUGUCUGAAAGAAAAGAAGAUGCUUCCCUUUAGAG
rnacentral:pre_miRNA from 1 species